AUUGAACGCUGGCGGCAGGCCUAACACAUGCAAGUCGAGCGAGCGGCGGACGGGUGAGUAAUGUCUGGGAAACUGCCUGAUGGAGGGGGAUAACUCCUGGAAACGGUAGCUAAUACCGCAUACCAUCAGAUGUGCCCAGGUGGGAUUAGCUAGUCGGUGGGGUAACGGCUCACCUGGGCGACGAUCCCUAGCUGGUCUGAGAGGAUGACCAGCCACACUGAGACUGAGACACGGUGCAGACUCCUACGGGAGGCAGCAGUGGGGAAGAUUGCACAAGGGGCGCAAGCCUGAUGCAGCGAUGCCGCGUGUGUGAAGAAGGCCUUCGGGUUGUAAAGCACUUUCAGCGGGGAGGCGUUACCCGCAGAAGAAGCACCGGCUAACUCCGGGCCAGCAGCCGCGGUAAUAC
rnacentral:rRNA from 1 species